ACACUCCUGCGGGAGGCAGCAGUGGGGAAUAUUGCACAAUGGGCGCAAGCCUGAUGCAGCCAUGCCGCGUGUAUGAAGAAGGCCUUCGGGUUGUAAAGUACUUUCAGCGGGGAGGAAGGCAAUACGGUUAAUAACCGUGUUGAUUGACGUUACCCGCAGAAGAAGCACCGGCUAACUCCGUGCCAGCAGCCGCGGUAAUACGGAGGGUGCAAGCGUUAAUCGGAAUUACUGGGCGUAAAGCGCACGCAGGCGGUCUGUCAAGUCGGAUGUGAAAUCCCCGGGCUCAACCUGGGAACUGCAUCCGAAACUGGCAGGCUUGAGUCUUGUAGAGGGGGGUAGAAUUCCAGGUGUAGCGGUGAAAUGCGUAGAGAUCUGGAGGAAUACCGGUGGCGAAGGCGGCCCCCUGGACAAAGACUGACGCUCAGGUGCGAAAGCGUGGGGAGCAAACAGGAUUAGAAACCCGGGUAGUCCCAUG
rnacentral:rRNA from 1 species